rnacentral:rRNA from 1 species
CAGUAGCCACGGGAAUACGGGGGGGGCAAGCGUUGUUCGGAAUUAUUGGGCGUAAAGGGCGCGUAGGCGGUUUGACAAGUUUGGUGUGAAAUCUAUGGGCUCAACCCAUAGCCUGCAUCGAAAACUGUCGGGCUUGAGUAUGGGAGAGGUGAGUGGAAUUUCCGGUGUAGCGGUGAAAUGCGUAGAUAUCGGAAGGAACACCUGAGGCGAAAGCGGCUCACUGGACCAUAACUGACACUGAGAGACGAAAGCUAGGGGAGCAAGUGGGAUUAGAUACCCCGGUAGUCCCUGUCUCUUAUAA